CACGUAGGGUGCGAGCGUUGUCCGGAACUAUUGGGCGUAAAGAGCUCGUAGGCGGUGUGUCGCGUCGGCCGUGAAAACCUGCAGCUUAACUGUGGGCGUGCGGUCGAUACGGGCAUCACUGGAGUUCGGCAGGGGAGACUGGAAUUCCUGGUGUAGCGGUGAAAUGCGCAGAUAUCAGGAGGAACACCGGUGGCGAAGGCGGGUCUCUGGGCCGAUACUGACGCUGAGGAGCGAAAGCGUGGGGAGCGAACAGG
rnacentral:rRNA from 1 species